CAGCAGCCACGGGAAUACAGAGGGUGCGAGCGUUAAUCGGAUUUACUGGGCGUAAAGCGUGCGUAGGCGGCUAAUUGAGUCGGAUGUGAAAUCCCCGGGCUCAACCUGGGAACUGCAUUUGUGACUGUAUAGCUAGAGUACGGCAGAGGGGGAUGGAAUUCCGCGUGUAGCAGUGAAAUGCGUAGAUAUGCGGAGGAACACCGAUGGCGAAGGCAAUCCCCUGGGCCUGUACUGACGCUCAUGCACGAAAGCGUGGGGAGCAAACAGGAUUAGAUACCCGCGUAGUCCCUGUCUCUUAUAA
rnacentral:rRNA from 1 species